AGCUUUGUGCAAUGGCAGUAUUGUAGCCAAUGAGGUUUAUCUGAGGUGCAAUUAUUGCUAAUUGAAAUAAGGACAUAUAAUCUGAAUAGACAUUUCUUAAAAGAA
rnacentral:snRNA from 1 species